UACAGAGACUGCAAGCGUUAUUCGGAUUCACUGGGCGUAAAGGGUGCGCAGGCGGCCAAGUGUGUGAGGCGUGAAAGCCUGGAGCUUAACUCCAGAAUUGCAUCUCAAACUACAUGGCUAGAGCAUUGGAGAGGGUAGCAGAAUUCAUGGUGUAGCAGUGAAAUGCGUAGAUAUCAUGAGGAAUACCAGAGGCGAAGGCGGCUACCUGGACAAUUGCUGACGCUCAGGCACGAAAGCGUGGGGAGCAAAAGGG
rnacentral:rRNA from 1 species